GGAAUCUUAGACAAUGGGCGAAAGCCUGAUCUAGCCAUGCCGCGUGAGUGAUGAAGGCCUUAGGGUCGUAAAGCUCUUUCGCCAGGGAUGAUAAUGACAGUACCUGGUAAAGAAACCCCGGCUAACUCCGUGCCAGCAGCCGCGGUAGUACGGAGGGGGUUAGCGUUGUUCGGAAUUACUGGGCGUAAAGCGCGCGUAGGCGGAUCAGAAAGUUGGGGGUGAAAUCCCAGGGCUCAACCCUGGAACUGCCUCCAAAACUCCUGGUCUUGAGUUCGAGAGAGGUGAGUGGAAUUCCGAGUGUAGAGGUGAAAUUCGUAGAUAUUCGGAGGAGCACCAGUGGCGAAGGCGGCUCACUGGCCCGAUACUGACGCUGAGGCGCGAAAGCGUGGGGAGCA
rnacentral:rRNA from 1 species